ACUGAAAUAGCUCAGUUGGGAGAAUGUUACACUAUAGAUCGAGAAGUCCGUGGUUCGAUCCAAGGUUCCAACA
rnacentral:tRNA from 1 species